AGGUCAAUUUUGAGAAUUUAUCUUUUAGAAGACAGAUGAUGACAUUAAAAUCAUGCUGACGAUUACACAGAUGCCC